GUCCCUGUAGCGCAAUGGAUAGCGCGUUGGACUUUUAAUCCAGUGGGUUCAAAUCCCACCUGGGAUG